rnacentral:rRNA from 1 species
GUUGAACGCUGGCGGGAUGCUUUACACAUGCAAGUCGAACUGCAGCGCGGACUUCGGUCUGGCGUCGAGUGGCGAACGGGUGAGUAAUGUAUCAGAACGUUCCCAGUAGGGGAGGAUAACUACGCGGAAACGAAUCUAAUACCGCAUACGCCCGACAGUGGAACGCAGUAGAUCUUAAAACCUUGCACUAUUGGAGCGGCCGAUAUCGGAUUAGCUAGUUGGUGAGGUAAAGGCCCACCAAGGCGACGAUCCGUAGCUGGAUUGAGAGGACGACCAGCCACACUGGGACUGAGACACGGCCCAGACUCAUACGGGAGGCAGCAGUAGGGAAUUUUGGACAAUGGGGGCAACACUGAUGCAGCCAUCCCGCGUGUGCGAUGAAGGAAUUCGGGUUGUAAAGCACUUUUGGUAGGAAAGAAAAGUGGCGGGAUAAUACCCCGAGGAAAUGACGGUACCUACAGAAGAAGCAACGGCUAACUACGUG